rnacentral:rRNA from 1 species
CACUAGUGAUUGCACAAGCGGUGGAGCAUGUGGUUUAAUUCGAUGGUAACCGAAGAACCUUACCAGGGAUUGACAUGUAACUGAAGGUAGAGAAAUCUACUGGCCUGCUGCAAAGCGGGAGGUUACACAGGUGGUGCACGGCCGUCGUCAGCUCGUGCCGUGAGGUGUUGGGUUAAGUCCCGCAACGAGCGCAACCCCUACGAUUAGUUACUAACGCGGAAAGGCGAGGACUCUAAUCGGACUGCCGCCGACGAGGCGGAGGAAGGAGGGGAUGACGUCAGGUAAGCGUGCCCCUUAUACUCUGGGCGACACACGUGCUACAAUGGAGGGGACAAAGGGAAGCGAAGCCGAGAGGUGGAGCGGAUCCUAAAAAAACUCUCCGAAAUACGGAUUGUAGGCUGCAACCCGCCUACAUGAAGUCGGAAUCGCUAGUAAUCGCAGGUCAGCCAAACUGCGGUGAAUACGUUCCCGGGCAAUCGAAUUCCC